GCCAGUGUAGCAUAGUGGUAAGGAAUAGGGCUUGUAACCGGAAGGUUGGUGGUUUGAUUUCCCACUGGGG